CGGACAGAUGGGUGCUUGCUCCCUGAUGUUAGCGGCGGACGGGUGAGUAACACGUGGGUAACCUGCCUGUAAGACAGGGAUAACUCCGGGAAACCGGGGCUAAUACCGGAUGGUUGUUUGAACCGCAUGGUUCAAACAUAAAAGGUGGCUUCGGCUACCACUUACAGAUGGACCCGCGGCGCAUUAGCUAGUUGGUGAGGUAACGGCUCACCAAGGCAACGAUGCGUAGCCGACCUGAGAGGGUGAUCGGCCACACUGGGACUGAGACACGGCCCAGACUCCUACGGGAGGCAGCAGUAGGGAAUCUUCCGCAAUGGACGAAAGUCUGACGGAGCAACGCCGCGUGAGUGAUGAAGGUUUUCGGAUCGUAAAGCUCUGUUGUUAGGGAAGAACAAGUACCGUUCGAAUAGGGCGGUACCUUGACGGUACCUAACCAGAAAGCCACGGCUAACUACGUGCCAGCAGCCGCGGUAAUACGUAGGUGGCAAGCGUUGUCCGGAAUUAUUGGGCGUAAAGGGCUCGCAGGCGGUUUCUUAAGUCUGAUGUGAAAGCCCCCGGCUCAACCGGGGAGGGUCAUUGGAAACUGGGGAACUUGAGUGCAGAAGAGGAGAGUGGAAUUCCACGUGUAGCGGUGAAAUGCGUAGAGAUGUGGAGGAACACCAGUGGCGAAGGCGACUCUCUGGUCUGUAACUGACGCUGAGGAGCGAAAGCGUGGGGAGCGAACAGGAUUAGAUACCCUGGUAGUCCACGCCGUAAACGAUGAGUGCUAAGUGUUAGGGGGGUUUCCGCCCCCUUAGUGCUGCAGCUAACGCAUUAAGCACUCCGCCCUGGGGAGUACGGUCGCCAAGACUGGAAACUCAAAAGGAAAUUGAAGGGGGGCCCCGCACAAACCGGUUGGAGCCUUUGGUUUAAUUGCAAGCAACGCGAAGAACCUUACCAGGUCUUGACAUCCUCUGACAAUCCUAGAGAUAGGACGUCCCCUUCGGGGGCAGAGUGACAGGUGGUGCAUGGUUGUCGUCAGCUCGUGUCGUGAGAUGUUGGGUUAAGUCCCGCAACGAGCGCAACCCUUGAUCUUAGUUGCCAGCAUUUAGUUGGGCACUCUAAGGUGACUGCCGGUGACAAACCGGAGGAAGGUGGGGAUGACGUCAAAUCAUCAUGCCCCUUAUGACCUGGGCUACACACGUGCUACAAUGGACAGAACAAAGGGCAGCGAAACCGCGAGGUUAAGCCAAUCCCACAAAUCUGUUCUCAGUUCGGAUCGCAGUCUGCAACUCGACUGCGUGAAGCUGGAAUCGCUAGUAAUCGCGGAUCAGCAUGCCGCGGUGAAUACGUUCCCGGGCCUUGUACACACCGCCCAACAGACCACGAGAGUUUGUAACACCCGAAGUCGGUGAGGUAACCUUUUAGGAGCCAGCCGCCGAAGGUGGACCA
rnacentral:rRNA from 1 species